GGUAGUGUACUGGUGUGUUUGUUGAUGGUAGUGUACUGGUGUGUGUGUUGAGUAAUCAGUAGAAUACACUCUCUCCCCCAGCCUGUAGGGGGCUGUGUACAGUGGCUGUCUCUCCCUGAUGAGGUAUGGGUAUCCAUACUGUCCCUCCUGCCACACAGAGAUCUGUCUACAGUGGCCCAGGUCUGCCUCCACUUGCUCCGACUGGCCAAUGACCACACACUAUGGAAGGUUGUUAGUGUGGAGAACAGCUCAUCUUUAACUGACCAAUGGCUGAGCAGUGUGGGUGUGCGUAAUCCUCGAAGCCUGACUAUCUACAGGUGCAGCGGACUGUCCAUCACCCCGAGCGGGCUAGAGGAGUUUUUCAAACUAAGUCAAGCUUCUCUGGAGGUGCUGAGUGUGACAAGCUGCAGUGGGCCUGGUCUCCAUGGUGACCUGGUGCUGACUCUGAGUGGUCAACACUGUGAUCACAUGACCUGUGUGGACGUCAGCUGGAGCGGAGCGACUGACACGGGCAUCAAAGCACUGACUGACACCUGCACUGGCCUGAAGACUGUUGUUCUCAAUGGUUGCCAAGUUACAGAUGAAGCCCUGAAUGCCCUCGUCAUAAGAUGCAGAGACAGGUGAGUUGCAAAAAAGUGUGGAAAAGGCUUUUGUACUUUGAUGUGUGUGUGUGUGUGUGUGUGUGUNNNNNNNNNNCACGCACAGACACACAGACACACAGACACACACACACACCCUUACUGUUACAGGUCUUUCAUUUGAUUUCCCUGUUUUUGUUUUGCUACACGUUUUGGUUUGCUUCCUGUUUUUUAGUUUGUUGUGUUUUUAAAAAAAAAAUUUGCCUCUUCUUGUGAAAAUUUUGUGGGGCACUCAUGGUGGGUGUCUUUUAGGUCCCAUUUGUUGUUGCUAGUCAACUUUAAGUGGACACCCACCGUAAGUGGUAGGUUGUUUUGUAUCUGUAUCACACAUGCCUGAUGUAAAGCAUUUUGUACAUCUUUAGGCAGUGCUGUGAAUACCAAUGCAACUAAUAUUCCUGUGACCAGGGCUCUCAAACUGGCAGUAAGAUGCAUUUCUAUACUGUAGUGUACUGGUGUGUGUGUUGAGUGUAGUGUACUGGUGUGUGUGUUGAUGGUAGUGUACUGGUGUGUGUGUUGAUGGUAGUGUACUGGUGUGUGUGUUGAUGGUAGUGUACUGGUGUGUGUGUUGAUGGUAGUGUACUGGUGUGUGUGUUGAGUGUAGUNNNNNNNNNNUGUGUGUGUGUGUGUGUGUGUGUGUGUGUGUGUGUGUGUGUGUGUGUGUGUGUGUGUGUAUUUGAUGCUUAGUAGUCAAAUCAAAUCAGAUCAAAUCUUAUUGGUUACAUACGCAUAGUUAGCAGAUGUUAAUU
rnacentral:lncRNA from 13 species